UCCUAAGCCUUGGCAAAUCUUAGCCCUCGAUCUUUCCUUCCAUCUCAACCGCACAUUCCUUCCUUUCUCUCCUCUUCUUCACGUUUCUUCUUCACGCCUCUCCUGACUCUCCUCUCUCCUCUCUCCUCUCUCCUCUCUUUUGUUGUCUCUCUAUCCUCUUUCUCUGUUUUUUUUGCCAUUGCGAUGGAGUUAUGGAGCGCCAUUAAAGGUUAUUCUCUACUAAUUAAAAAAUUAUAGGGUUUGUUCUUAGGAAUUUCAGCUUCUCUCUUCAUUCAUCAUUCAGAUUUUAGGGUUUGUUCUUAGGAAUUUCAGCUUUUCUCUCAAGAACACAAUUCAAUUUCAUCGGCACUUCGCAUCAAAUUGCCUUUACGGGAUAAUCGAGCUCUUUCGACGAGAUUUGGAACUCGAAUUUCGCAAAAAUUGAAAGGAAGGAAAUGCGAAUUAGAGGAGAGACAAAUUUAACCGAUCGAGUUUUGCUGAAAUGGGGUUUGAAGGUGAAGAUCAGCUUCACUCAAUUACUACAAGUUCUGUGAAACUCAAGCUUCCUAGAAAGUAUAUCCAUCCAGACAACAUGUUUGCUGAGGGAAAUUUAAACCUUGAGCUGAAAAGAAUUCGGGAUGAAUUCAAAAUGCACGAGUCAGAUUGUGGUUCAACACGUGCUCAAAGAAGGAAGGAGUAUUUAGGGUUUCGUCGGGCCAAGGAUGAUGAUUGUAGACUGUCGAGGAAGCACUUGUCGAAUGGUCUUAUGGAUAUUUACAGAUCUAAGUCACCUUAGCUUUUUGUUGGCAAGGAAUAUCCUUGACUCUCAUCAACCAGAUUUAAUCAGUUUACAAGGCAACACCUGAUCAGUCGUUUGUCUAGGAAAAAAUGUUUGCUUCGCGAUGUUUAUGGAUAAAAAGACUUUAAACUAUUUCUCCAGAAGGCCAUAUACCGGACAGAAUGGGAUUCAUUUGUCAGUGGAAGGUCGUCCUGGUGAAAAAUCUUCCUUAUAUGGACAUGAGGAGAGGGAAAAUUCCAAAGCUGUUGUGUCAUAGACUUUUCCCUUCAGCAAGGUAUUCAAUUUGGUUGGAUAGCAAGUUGCGACUCCAACGUGAUCCUCUGUUGUUAUUGGAGCACUUCUUAUGGAGAAAGUCAUUGUGUCUGGGAGGAGAUGGAUCGGAAUAAGAAGCUUAACAAAUACAACCAUACCGUUUUUCUUCAAGGCAAUGCAUCGCAGUGAGAGACCAUGUCAUUUUUCUUCUCUUAUUUAGCUAGCUUAUUCUGACAGCUUUACGCUAUCUUACAUCUGCUAAAUGAUCUUGUAGUUCAAUUGUAUGCUAGAACCGGUGAUCAGAAUAGUUGACUGCCACAAACGUUUACAGUAUAUGAAUUUGAUGCCAAUGUGAAGGGUGCCAUUGUGCUUAAGGGUAGGAAUGGUCAUUGUUGUCAGAUAUUCUACUUUUCAACUGUUUGCCCUCAUGAGAUAUACGAAUCUCACUUUUUAUAUAGCCUUAUACUGGCUUUUAGCAAGA